AACGAACGCUGGCGGCGUGCCUAAUACAUGCAAGUCGAACGGGGAAAGCUUUCGGGUGAGUACUAGUGGCGCACGGGUGAGUAACGCGUGGAUAAUCUGCCUUAGAGUGGGGGAUAACUAGUCGAAAGAUUAGCUAAUACCGCAUAAGACCACAAGAACUGCGGUUCAAGGGGUCAAAGGUUUUUCGCUCUAAGAUGAGUCCGCGUAAGAUUAGCUAGUUGGUAGGGUAACGGCCUACCAAGGCGACGAUCUUUAACUGGUCUGAGAGGAUGAUCAGUCACACUGGAACUGAGACACGGUCCAGACUCCUACGGGAGGCAGCAGUAGGGAAUAUUGCACAAUGGAGGAAACUCUGAUGCAGCGACGCCGCGUGAGUGAUGAAGGCCUUCGGGUCGUAAAGCUCUGUCGCAGGGGAAUAACACAAUGAAGGUACCCUGUAAGAAAGGAUCGGCUAACUUCGUGCCAGCCGCCGCGGUAGAC
rnacentral:rRNA from 1 species